UGAAAGAAGAAUACUGGGGGCAGCAGGAAGAGCCUCAGAGCCCUGCAGGGUGUAUACUGUGCUGCCAAAGUCAAUAUUGCCUCAGGCUCCAAAAAUAAGUAGAAAACUCACUUUCCAAAGGUUGUUUUAGCUUUCCAAUUGGGAUGUAGUGUUUUUUUUUUCCUUGUAUGCACAGUAAGAGUGCUGGAAUUUGAGUCCCUCUCAGUGCUCUCUACCAACUUGGAUAUCUGUGGCAUAUCUCCACUGAUUUGAUGUUAAUUUUUUCCUCCUCUCUCUGGUUCCCAUGUUCUGCAGCACAUUUUGAAAGCUCAGUAGCCUUCUGUGAAGUCUGGUGAAGUCUAUCUGGACAGCAAAGGGCUGGGGCAGUGGUGUGAUGCACCUGCUAAAUGGAACCAUCAUAUCAAUAGAGCUAGAGCAAUACGGCCAGAGAUGCUGAACUAAGGAUUUGACGGAUGGUGGCCCACCAGGGCUACCAUAUGGUGUGUGAGAUAGGUGACUACACCACUUGCUGUACUGAAGGCACCAGAGAAUCUUGGAUCCCGCUCUGCUGUUAACUUUAAU
rnacentral:lncRNA from 1 species